rnacentral:rRNA from 2 species
CAAAACGACUCUCGACAACGGAUAUCUCGGCUCUCGCAUCAUCGAAUUGCAGAAUCCCGUGAAUCAUCGAGUCUUUGAACGCAAGUUGCGCCCGAAGCCUUUUGGUUGAGGGCACGUCUGCCUGGGCGUCACGC